rnacentral:rRNA from 1 species
AUACGUAGGAUCCGAGCGUUAUCCGGAUUUAUUGGGUUUAAAGGGUGCGUAGGUGGUUUGAUAAGUCAGCGGUGAAAGUUUGCAGCUUAACUGUAAAAAUGCCGUUGAAACUGUCGGACUUGAGUGUAAAUGAGGUAGGCGGAAUGCGUGGUGUAGCGGUGAAAUGCAUAGAUAUCACGCAGAACUCCGAUUGCGAAGGCAGCUUACUAAGCUACAACUGACACUGAAGCACGAAAGCGUGGGGAUCAAACAGGAUUAGAUACCCUGGUAGUCCACGCAGUAAACGAUGAUUACUAGCUGUUUGCGAUACACAGUAAGCGGCACAGCGGAAGCGUUAAGUAAUCCACCUGGGGAGUACGCCGGCAACGGUGAAACUCAAAUGAAUUGGCGGGG